UUGGCUAAUGUGUCUUGGCUAAAGUGUCUUGGCUAAGGUGUCUUGGCUAAUGUGUCUUGGCUAAGGUGUCUUGGCUAAUGUGUCUUGGCUAAGGUGUCUUGGCUAAGGUGUCUUGGCUAAGGUAUCUUGGCUAAGGUGUCUUGGCUAAUGUGUCUCGGCUAAGGUGUCUUGGCUAUUGUGUCUUGGCUAAGGUGUCUUGGCUAAGGUGUCUUGGCUAAGGUGUCUUGGCUAAGGUGUCUUGGCUAAGGUGUCUUGGCUAAGGUGUCUUGGCUAAGGUGUCUUGGCUAAUGUGUCUCGGCUAAGGUGUCUUGGCUAAGGUGUCUUGGCAAAUGUGUCUUGGCUAAGGUGUCUUGGCUAAUGUGUCUUGGCUAAGGUGUCUUGGCUAAGGUGUCUUGGCUAAAGUGUCUUGGCUAAGGUGUCUUGGCUUAGGUGUCUUGGCUAAGGUGUCUUGGCUAAUGUGUCUCGGCCAUUGUGUCUUGGCUAAGGUGUCUUGGCUAAGGUGUCUUGGCUAAGGUGUCUUGGCAAAUGUGUCUUGGCUAAGGUGUCUUGGCUAAGGUGUCUUGGCUAAGGUGUCUUGGCUAAUGUGUCUCGGCUUAUGUGUCUUGGCUAAUGUGUCUUGGCUAAGGUGUCUUGGCUAAUGUGUCUCGGCUAAGGUGUCUUGGCUAAUGUGUCU